rnacentral:rRNA from 1 species
AUACGGAGGAUGCAAGCGUUAUCCGGAUUUAUUGGGUUUAAAGGGUGCGUAGGCGGUUUGCUAAGCGGGAGGUGAAAUGCCGGCGCUCAACGUCGGAAGUGCCUCCCGAACUGGUGGACUUGAAUGACUCUGCCGUGGGAGGAAUGUGUAGUGUAGCGGUGAAAUGCUUAGAGAUUACACAGAACACCGAUUGCGAAGGCAUCUCACGAAGGGUUGAUUGACGAUGAGGCACGAAAGCGUGAGGAUCAAACAGUAUUAGAUACCCUGGUAGUCCACGCAGUAAACGAUGAUGGCUAACCGCUGGGCUUAGCAGUUCAGUGGCCAAGCGAAAGCGAUAAGCCAUCCACCUGGGGAGUACGACCGCAAGGUUGAAACUCAAAUGAAUUGACGGGG